rnacentral:lncRNA from 1 species
GUCUGCUCUGGGACUUGGAACAAAAGGGGAAACUCUGAUGAACUCCUUCUCCAGCUCCCUGGACGCCCGAGUAUCUCUUUCUCGCAACUUUGUCAACGCGACUUUCUCCGCUGUCAGGCUGCGCAAAAGUAUCCUAGCGCCUCGCAGGCUGCAACAAUGGAAACAAUGUCCCUUCAAAGUGCGACGAAGUGGAGGGAGAAGGUGUCAUACCAGCGACUCCAAGAGUCAUGUCACCCACUUAGCAGGAGUACUUCUACUGAAAUGCCUUCGAAUUUCUCUUACUGGAUAUAUACCUACCAGCCGCUAGCAUGAAGAUGCCAGGACCGCUGCAAGUUAGCACUGGACAAAGUAGCAUCAACUUCUUCAUUUAGAGUUUCUUCAGUUAAAUUGCUGGGAUUUUCGACAAGGCUUUCCUUAUGUGGAUUAUUGGAGUGUGAUGCCCGAGAAUUCUCUACUUGUAGAAGCACGCCCACGGGACUGCAGAAGCCUUCACACCCACCCAGCACGCUCAGGGUUGAUGGCCUAACACUGGCUUAACACUCAUGUCGGCUGCACUAAUUGAAGUCACAUCCAAGUGGGUCAAUGCACUGAACAUAUCUGAUAUAGAAGGUCCCAGAUCCUGAAUUUUUAUCAAUGGUUUGCUGUAUAAGGCUUGCCUCCCAAAUAGCUGAGGACCCUUAUUUGGGAAGAUACGUUCUGAUGGUUAAGCAACAGCACAGAUGUCGAUGGGAAUGAGUGAUGGCCAUCCAGUGACCAGCUGGAUCUGACUGCCUUACAAGACGCAUGUGUAUGAUUAAGAGAGAGACAUUCGUGACUCCCAGAUGUACCUCCUUCCUGUCCCACAGUGUUCCUGAAGGGAGUGAGUUAUGGGGUAACUUAUAACACAGCAGGCUCUUCCUCAAGAUAGCUCUUGUCAAAACAGGAAGACGAAACUCGGGUUUCCAUGAGGAGACCACAGCUUGGGAUCCUGUCUGGAUGUACAAGCAGAAGCAUCUUCAUACUUUUCCAUUUCUAACCAUCAUGCCUCACCCCACCCUCCCAAGGCGACAUCUGCAGAGAGGUGGAACCAUCUAGGGAGGCCUGCCACUGUUUGCUGAGCUCCGGGUGAGGAUGAAGACACUUUGACAUGGCCAGCUUCAGACUCGGGAUCUGUCGGUGUUAGCAGCCGAAGGAGAAUGAGGAGGAAGAGGAGGAGAAAGAGGAGGAGGAAGUAAGACAGAGGGGGACAAGAGGACCAAGAGGGCACAUGGCUGAGGAGGAGGAGAACAACAACAACAACAACAACAACAACAACAACAAGAAGCUUGGUGGACUCUGGAAUUGGCUAAAGAGAUGAUGACAAACCUUCUCCAGCCAGUGGCCAUGGAUUAGACUUUUUCAGGAUGUGUUCCUGAGUCUCGUGAGUAGCACAUGGCAGUUGUUGUCACCUUGGGCUGAGCCGUGAAGAUUCUCACCCUCCCUUGUUGGGGAUGAACUCCGGGAUUCUAAGGAGAGGUCAGCAGGUGUUUCACAGACUGUUCCUGUUGGAGGAUUUGUCUGAUACUCUUCUCCUGAUUAGUCUGGGCUCUACAUUUCCCCAAGGGUGAAACUUGGAAGCCCUCUCCAGGAUGCAGCAGGUAGCUGAGGAGAAAACGAAGACUGACCAGCCCAGAGCUCAGAGCUUCCUCCCAUGCUCAGGAUUUACCACCAAUGCCAUUACAUCGGCCUCUUCUUGUAUGCCUCUGGAAACCACAUGUGUCCUCUGUUUGUAAUGGUUUGGCUAUGGUUGCUGGCCCCUCUUGGACAUUGUUUUCAGAACUUAAAGAAACAUUGCUUUAAAGAUUUAUUAGAACAUAUUUAAAAUAAAACCAUCUUCUCAUUUA